rnacentral:rRNA from 1 species
UACGGAGGGAGCUAGCGUUGUUCGGAAUUACUGGGCGUAAAGCGCACGUAGGCGGCUUUUUAAGUCAGGGGUGAAAUCCCGGGGCUCAACCCCGGAACUGCCCUUGAAACUGGAGAGCUAGAAUCUUGGAGAGGCGAGUGGAAUUCCGAGUGUAGAGGUGAAAUUCGUAGAUAUCGGGAGGAACACCAGAGGCGAAGGCGGCGACCUGGAAGGUAACUGACACUGAGCAGCGAAAGCGUGGGGAGCAAACAGG